rnacentral:lncRNA from 1 species
AAGCAAUAAAAGUGAAAACAAGACAGAUGAAGAUUGAAUAGAGCGAAAUUCCCAGUAAAAUAGCACCAAAAGGCUCUUGCUCUUGCUCUAGCAUUAUCACACUCACACAGGUGUCCCAGGUUUAUGCCUUGUCCUAGGCAAGGCAAGAUGGGGGUUAGUGGGUUCAAUUAGCCAAAAAAAAAAAGAAGCAAGCAGACUAUAACAUCCUUGAUUGCUCUUGAAACCAUAUCUGAAUGUCAAGUAAAAUAGAACUUUACAUGAUAGUAACACUCCUCUCAGGACUCAGGAUACCCAAAUUCUAAAGAGACUGCAAUUAGUUCUACAUCACGGUUUUCCCUUCUUGCAUCAAUUCAGGAAAAAUAAAAUAGAAGCAUAAAAUACUGCAUAAUAACCUGAAAGUGAGGAUUAAGAGCAUCUCUAAGAGGCUCUCUACAUAGGCUCUUAAGUUGAAAAUUAGAGAGCCAUGGUUCACAUAUAGCUCCAAGAGACUUUUAGAGGCUCUUUAUAAACUUAAAAGCCUCUUCUCUCCCCUCUAUUUUAAAGAGCCUACACAUUGCUCUUAACUAAUUGUUCUUAAUAAUGAUUUCAUUCCCUUCCACUCAUCCAUAACUUUUCCCUCUCAGUCUCUUUUGGUUCAGAUAUGAAUAAAAUAUAAAAUAAAGAAUGAGUAUAAAGAGUAUUGCCGGAGUUAGCAUGUUUCGGUCCUCUUCCCCAUUACUUAGAAAAAGUGAGCCAUCGAUUCAGGUAUAAGAUACUAUCAUUACAGCCGGACAAUUAGACAUCCAACCCGUAAUCGCACAUUGAGUUCUUACAGUAACCAGGCUAUCAGUGUCACGAUCUCCAUAGUACGCUUCAUGUUCAUGGUGUCCAUGUUCAUCCCUAAUAUGAGAAAAAGAUACCAUAUUACAAGAUAAUUAUAAGAUGUGAAACAGAAUGUGCCAACAUAGUUAAAGAAAUUAAAGAAAUUAACAAAAACUACAAAGCGGCAUACUGAAAUUAAAAUAUAUUUACACAUAGCAGACUUGCAAUCUGGAAAUGUAUGUACCUGACAUCACUUCCUUUACGGAAUAUCCGAAUGGAAGGAUAGCCUUGUAUGUGAUUCCUGAAAAUCCACAACCAAAUUUUUUUUGCUGAAACCACAUUGACUCUAAAAUAUUGGCAAGGUCAUUAAUUUACAGGAUCUAAAGUCAUGUAUGUUCUAUAUGAACUUAUGCAAUACACCUAUGUUUUUCUUGGUUCAAGCUGCAGAAGCAACUCAAACAGUAUUGAACAAACUGUAAUAUCCCUUCUGUCUGCAGGGAUCCCGUCAGAUUAAGUUCUCCUUUUAUAUGGCAAUGGACUUUGUGUCUUUUGAUGAGCACAGGAAAUCCCCCUGUAUUGAGAUCAUCACGAAACACAUGUUUCUGGGUGUUCACCGGCAUGACCAAUAAAGGAUACUUUUAAUGUUUAACUGAAGCGAAGGUUCCGGUGUACAGAUAAAAUCAUUUAAGUAUGAGUAGAACUAGAUUAAUGACCUGCUGUAAUUUCAUUGAUGCCAUUAUGAUACCUAGAGUAUACAAUAUUUCUUCAUAAAUCACAUAUUCAACAAAAAGUAAAAAAUUAUUAGAUAGAAAAGUUAUGGAGAUAUCUUAGCCAAAAGAGUUUUCUUCUGUUUGCAGAUCACUUGAACAAACAAAAUAAUUACAAAGGAAGGGUAUCCUACAAAGCAGCAUAUAUGAUCUAGAGUAUCCAAUAACAUCAGUCAUUUAUUAAAGAGAAUCAGAAUGAAAUGUCACUUGAUAGACAAAUUUGCAAACAGAAAUUCAGUUACUUUCCAUAAUAUCUAUAAAUUAUAGAGAUACCUUCUACACAACUCAUUUUCUUCCGUGCAGUCAACCUUUCCCAAAAGAAUCCGUCCAUCCAUUUCUGGGUCAUAUCUGAAAACAAUUUGAUUACGAGUUCAACUAGUUAGCAUACUUCAUGCUAUAUAGAGAGCAGAGCUAAGCUACAUGCAACUAUUAAGCAUGGAUUAAAAAUUAAAAUAGUUAAUACACCUUUCCCUCAUGAUUUUUGCAGCUUUCUCCCAUGAAGGUCUCUGAAACAAGAAAAAUGAGAGGUAGGAUACAUUUAGAGAUGUAAAAUGAGUUCAUAAUUUAUUUUUUACUAAACAAGAGCUUAAAUUACAGAAGUAGACAGCUAUAAAACUGAUAGAUAAUUGGAUAUAAGCAAUAAAAGUGAAAACAAGACAGAUGAAGAUUGAAUAGAGCGAAAUUCCCAGUAAAAUAGCACCAAAAGGCUCUUGCUCUUGCUCUAGCAUUAUCACACUCACACAGGUGUCCCAGGUUUAUGCCUUGUCCUAGGCAAGGCAAGAUGGGGGUUAGUGGGUUCAAUUAGCCAAAAAAAAAAAGAAGCAAGCAGACUAUAACAUCCUUGAUUGCUCUUGAAACC